rnacentral:rRNA from 1 species
GAUGAACGCUAGCUACAGGCUUAACACAUGCAAGUCGAGGGGCAGCAUGGUCUUAGCUUGCUAAGGCCGAUGGCGACCGGCGCACGGGUGAGUAACACGUAUCCAACCUGCCGUCUACUCUUGGACAGCCUUCUGAAAGGAAGAUUAAUACAAGAUGGCAUCAUGAGUCCACAUGUUCACAUGAUUAAAGGUAUUCCGGUAGACGAUGGGGAUGCGUUCCAUUAGAUAGUAGGCGGGGUAACGGCCCACCUAGUCUUCGAUGGAUAGGGGUUCUGAGAGGAAGGUCCCCCACAUUGGAACUGAGACACGGUCCAAACUCCUACGGGAGGCAGCAGUGAGGAAUAUUGGUCAAUGGGCGAGAGCCUGAACCAGCCAAGUAGCGUGAAGGAUGACUGCCUUAUGGGUUGUAAACUUCUUUUAUAAAGGAAUAAAGUCGGGUAUGGAUACCCGUUUGCAUGUACUUUAUGAAUAAGGAUCGGCUAACUCCGUGCCAGCAGCCGCGGUAAUACGGAGGAUCCGAGCGUUAUCCGGAUUUAUUGGGUUUAAAGGGAGCGUAGAUGGAUGUUUAAGUCAGUUGUGAAAGUUUGCGGCUCAACCGUAAAAUUGCAGUUGAUACUGGAUAUCUUGAGUGCAGUUGAGGCAGGCGGAAUUCGUGGUGUAGCGGUGAAAUGCUUAGAUAUCACGAAGAACUCCGAUUGCGAAGGCAGCCUGCUAAGCUGCAACUGACAUUGAGGCUCGAAAGUGUGGGUAUCAAACAGGAUUAGAUACCCUGGUAGUCCACACGGUAAACGAUGAAUACUCGCUGUUUGCGAUAUACAGCAAGCGGCCAAGCGAAAGCGUUAAGUAUUCCACCUGGGGAGUACGCCGGCAACGGUGAAACUCAAAGGAAUUGACGGGGGCCCGCACAAGCGGAGGAACAUGUGGUUUAAUUCGAUGAUACGCGAGGAACCUUACCCGGGCUUAAAUUGCAGAUGAAUUACGGUGAAAGCCGUAAGCCGCAAGGCAUCUGUGAAGGUGCUGCAUGGUUGUCGUCAGCUCGUGCCGUGAGGUGUCGGCUUAAGUGCCAUAACGAGCGCAACCCUUGUUGUCAGUUACUAACAGGUUCCGCUGAGGACUCUGACAAGACUGCCAUCGUAAGAUGUGAGGAAGGUGGGGAUGACGUCAAAUCAGCACGGCCCUUACGUCCGGGGCUACACACGUGUUACAAUGGGGGGUACAGAGGGCCGCUACCACGCGAGUGGAUGCCCAUCCCAAAAACCUCUCUCAGUUCGGACUGGAGUCUGCAACCCGACUCCACGAAGCUGGAUUCGCUAGUAAUCGCGCAUCAGCCACGGCGCGGUGAAUACGUUCCCGGGCCU